GGAAAUUAAUAGAGUAGUUUUUUUUUAUCUAAUUCAUUAUAAAAAUAACGGAAACGAAUUUUUUUUAGGCGUACAAAAAUUUAUAUUUAGUUUUUUAAUCGAAGAGGCCGAUCGAUAACGAAAUUAAAAUAUAACGAGUGGCCGGCACUACGGAAAGUGGAAAAGGAGCCCGAUGACGUCGCGUCGCCAUUCGAAGUUUCGCAACCGCAAUCGUUUCCGUUUCUACAGAACUACUUCGGCCGGGACAAGGUCGUUAAAUUUCUCAGCUAGUGUUUUUGUUUACGCUGGCGAGCGUAUUCUUAAUGGAAAAUUAUACUCGGUUCUUUCUUUUACCGAUAGAUGUCGGCUUUUUCCAACUACAUUCAAUACAGUCGAGAUACGUAAUUAGCUUUAUCGCUAAAAACUUCGAUUUAUUUUUUUUUACCAUAGAUUAUUUAAUAAAUGAUAUUAAAGAAAGUUUAACCGGUUUCCGAUAAUGGAGGAAAACAUUUUCGUCUUUCGUUGAUGAUGUCUGCCAAAAUUAAAGAAACGUGUACCAGUAAUAUAACAAUUCCGCCAUUACAGUCGUAACGUAUAGAUGGCUAGAAUAGAGCAUAAUUUUGACGGUUCGUAGUUCUGUAGCAUCAACGGCGGAUAAAUCAAAUUGUUUAUUGUAUAUAUGUAAACUAGGUAAGGAAAGAAACUACAAUGUAUGGCGCAGUUAACAUUAGAGUGGGGUGGAUUUCACAGCUUGGUCGUAAAACCACGCGGGCGGAAUAGCGAAAUCCUCCUACAUUCUCCAGCUUUACCGGGAGGAGGAGACGAAUAUAGCCGAGAGAGAACGAAGAUGGGUGGAAAAAUUGGUAAAAAUUUGCCUUAACCGCGCGUCGCCAUCCCGAAAUUUGUAUCCGCUGUUUUUUCGGACAUUGUUACAUAACCGUUUGCUGCGCGACCGACAUCGCGCGCGACGCGCGGGCCACAAUAUAAUAGACUGUUUGAGAGUCGACGCGCGCAGCAAUGGCGCAGGUAAGGUAAAUUUUUACCGAAAAUUUUUAACUUUUAUCUGGAUUAUUUAGGGCCCGGGUCUUAUUUAAUAUGGAGGGAAAUUUUAUCACCUUGGCGGACAGAAUGAAUCUUAAAAUCGAAACAAAUAACGAGCGCCAAGUAAGCGAGAUUCCGCCUUUCUAUUUGGGAAGGGUCCAGAAUAUAUACCACGUCAAACUUUUCAGUUAGUCACACGUAUUUUAAGACAGAAUUUUAUCGGCGCUCAAUCCGCGUACAAUUCCGGUAGCGGGGUCGAAGUAAACUCCGGGUGACGGCGAAUUUACGGAAGAGACCGAGAAAAAUAUGGAGACGACCAACCCAGACCGGUUUUUAUCGUCCUCGAUUAAUCCGCGGUAAAUUUAUUGGGUAAGUCAGUCAGGAAGAUCCCAAAGUCAGCAGUUGCACCAGCUUCGUUUCUGUCUUAAAAACAUGACUACAUCAAACCCCACUACCUCCACUCGAUGGCCCAGUAUUUUUAUUGCCCACCGAAUAACUUUUUGUCGCUUUCCACUCGCCUUUUAAAAUAUCUAUAGUUACGGCCGACCAUUGUCAAAAAAUAAAAGUUUUACUCACCGUAGUUACGUAAUAGAUAUUAAAUUUUGUAACCGAGAAGUUAUGGUAUUUUUGACAGAAAAUGUUCAAUAAAUAAACCAGGGGACAGAAAAGGCAAAGAUAGGGAAUAGAAAUUUAGAUCAUUGGCGUAAGGACUUUUUACGGAGGCAGACAAAAAAUUUUAUUCGUUUAUUUUUACGCUAACCGAUACGCGUGUGGGACGAGUUUUCGACGCAGUUAAAACCUCCGUACUUAUCCAAAUUCCUUGAUGCGACAUUUCCUGGGUUCUUCUGUAUCGAGUUCCCAAAUUCGGUAUCGGAUUACUAAUAGCUGUCCGUACUAAUAAUAUAUGGAUUAAAAACAAAUUAUGGCAGCCUGGAGGCCUAUCCACAUUGGUGGCGGCCGAUAUCAGCGGGAAAUUUUGUCCGUCAGCCCUGGCCACAGUGGACUGAUAGGGGGAGGAGCGGAGCGUCAGUCCCUAUCCUAUCCACUGUCUUCCUAUCCUGUCUUAUCGGUGUAAUUUUUCCCGGUAUGCUCCUGUUGGAUUACUAUCCACCAGGAGAUGGGCGGCGGUCGUAUGGCUUAAUAUGCGGGUCCAUCUCGGCACCCAAAUAAGCGCUCUUACUUUUACCAGAUGUCGACAUAAAUUCGGGUGGUCUUCGAUUCCUCGGUCACUCCGAAAUAUUCAAAAAUAUCGGCCUCUCGUCAUUAAACUGAAACACCAUAUACAACGAGAAACGGUGGCCUGGCGGGACUACUUUCCGUCGAAGGAGAAUCGGCGUCUUCGGUUGUAGUUUGGCCCGACCCAGAAAUUUUCUUUUCUAUACUCUACCACGCGACCGGUUUCGAAAGUUUACUUUUGCUUUAAUUAAUUGCGUCGAGUGAUGGGGAAUAUUUUAAAAGUCCAAUUAAGAAUAAACAAUAUUCAUUCGAAUAUAAAAGGGUUUUUCCAUUUCUCUGGGCCUAAAAUAUCCGCGUAUCGCUACCGACUGGAACGUAUCGACGGAUUUUUAAACGGCCACGGCCUUUUUACCUGCCCAGGUGCUAAGGGAACAACGCAUUAGUCAAUCGUUAGCAGUGUCGAACAACGCGCUGCCGACGUUUAGUUUUUGGUUUCGUAACCUUAACGCGCGAAACUGAGGUGGGCGUCGGUGGCAUCCCGGGCAAAAGACGCUCAUGUUUUGGCAUUUAAACCUUAAAAUAUAUAUUUUAUAAAAUGUUAUUCACGGGUGGUUUAUAUUUAUAUCUAUAGAAUGCAUUUGAUUAUUUGUAUCGCGUUUUAUUCACUCACAUAUUCUAUAUGAAUUAUAUAUUUAAUCGAAUACGAUCGAUAAUCGUCGACGAAAUUCAAAUUGAUGGUUUAAUUAGUCAGAAAAAUGAGGCAGUGGCCGUGAAUGCCGUCAGCCACUGCGACUAAAACAUAGAACGUUCCAAAGAAUGCUUGGAGAAGGAGAAUGUGGCGAGAUGUAGAGAUUCUCGAAUUCGAUCGACGCACGAUAUUUUGUAAGAUAGAGGAAGACCAAGUAGACGGACGUUACUCGGGUUUGUUCCGCCACCGAUACAAAUCCGAGUAUCGUCGACUUACGCUGUAGCUCCUUUAAACUUCGAUAAAGAAAACACGUGCGAGGCGAGCGCAAAGUUACGUAAAUUGGUGCGAGACCUCGAUUACUCGCGUUGGUAUCGCGUACCAGGUAGAGAAAAUGGAAGCGAUCCGUGUUUUGUUGGCCACCAUCGUCUCGGCGACGACAGCGAUUAAGAAAACACGUGUACGCGUUUGUCCCCAUAAAUUGUCCUUCUGUCCGUAAUAGGGAGGGGCCAACGGACAUCGCGCAAUAUUUGUUAAAUUAUGUUAUUACACAAUUUUAGUGUUACUGAUAAAAAUAAAUUUUAAGUGCUUCAUUACUUUAAAUCUUAACAAAUAUAAUAAAAAAAAUUACUCUGUUUUUAAUAAAGUACAUUUGAAACACUGUAUUAUGCAUAAUUAGCGUGUCCGUUUGCCCCACAUUUUACCAUAUGUGUGUGUGGGUGUGUACAUAUAUAUAUGAACAUAUAUAUAUUUUAAAACAAUUUUACCCUACCCUACAUUUAUGUUAUUUAUAACAAAAAUACUGUACAUAAGAAGGUAAAUAAUUAUGUAGGUAAGCUCAAUGGGAAGAGCGCUAAGCAAAAUUUCUAACACCAUUCCACGGUAGCUGCCAAACACUCGGAAUAUUUUUAGACGAAAUCAAAAUAUAGUGGUACCGGACCAAUUAUACACCUAACGGGAUAAAUAUUCUAGAGUUUUGGGUCGGGCGACGGCGGAAGAUCCAGACGCGCCUUUAAUGGGCUAAUAAUAGACGCGCCUCUGGCAGCCUUAACCGUACUAGCGGGUUAUUCGAGUAGCGAGCAAAGAUUAAACCCGUCGCACCGUUUCCGCCCCCGGAUCGUCGGUAUUCAAACGGGAGCGGAUGGUCGGGUCGCCCAGUCUAGCCGUACCUGGUUGAGAAAAUUAGGUAGCGGACGGAAGGUAGGUCGGCCGACUUCCGAUCAACAGGUAGCCGAGGCGCUUCGUCCCUGGCCUGGUAGGCCUGCCUGCCCAUUAAGCGGGUUAAUUGUACCAGUGAUGAUUUAAGCCCAGAAGGCGUCCGAAAUAACAGUAGCGGAAUUGCAACGGGCGGGUGGGAUAGAAUCGGAGGCCAGACUUGUUCUUACGCAACUGGUCCCGGAAAUGCUGGCGUGACGGUGGCUAAAAGGCGUCAACGUGGGUAAUAAUCGAUGGGCAAUUGAGGUUUUCAGUCGAAUGGAGAUACCACCAGCGGUCGGGAACGAGUACUGACUAUAAAACUGCGGUAAAUAACAGCCCAACCGGUGGUAAGAGGAAAAUUUAGGCUCUAACAUAGACGAAAUAAUGGCGCCGAUUAACCACCGAGUGGAAGAAAGUUUUCCACCUCCAAGGGAGACGAAAGUCGUCUUUCCAGAACGGAUUAAGGCCAGCAUCGGUUGAGUAUCGGGCUGGGAGAAGGAAACGAAUUCCCAUAGACAGAUUUAAUUAUUGGGACUAAAGUGGAAGAAGGUAGAGACGGCGGUGGGUGGUGUCCACGCCAUCUUACGGAGGCGACGGCGCCGGGAGUUUCGAAAUCGUCCCACUAGAUUAAUAUCGACCCACCCAACGGUGGUAGGUUAGGCAGACGGCGGACCGAGAAGGCAGCCUUAAAAUUUCGCCGUCGCCCGACCCGAGACGGAAACUCACCUGGAAUCGGGCGAAAAGCCUAAUCCGAUCUUAUUAGAACGGGCGGAAGGUGAGCCCGGGAAACACGACUGCGUUAAUAUUUCGUAACGGUGGAAAGAGCGCCAUUGGCUAACUCUUUCUUCGUCAUUGGUCCGUGACUCGGCGCUGAUACUGGCGUCUUUCCCAAUCUUUAGUCACCCGGUCGGCUAAUCACGUGACUGGCGGCGGCUCCAGCUCCGUCGGUAGCGGCCGUAGUAAAGAUGCCCGGGGAAUCGGAGAAAAGUCCAGCCAAAUGUGCGGGCGAUGGUUUUUUUCCUAGUAAAUACGAUUUUUCACCCUUCUAGGUCAAAAGAACCCAUUUUAUUUCGAUCGCGUCCAUACCAGAAUCGAUCAGAAACAUCAAACGAGACGGGACGGUCGCCGUCCGCGCUCACAACUCGAUGUCAACCCUUUUUUACGUUUUGUUAAUUAUCGUCUGAUGGGACUGAUAGUUCCGUCAGCUCUUAUACACCUAUUCUCGCCGUUCCGGGGUCCGAAUAUUUUUAGUCGAUCGGCGGAAAAGGAAAUUUCAUCUAGGCGGAAAGAUUAAACUCGACUAUUAAAUUUUAGUUUAAACGAAGACCGUUAGGUGAUCGACUCGUCCCCGUCAAGGCUAAGUCGCCAUCGUUUCGUCAGACGACCGGUAGUCACUCUACUUUUAAUGGCACGCCACCUUCCGAUCGGGGGUUCUUAACCGGGUUAUACGACUCGAUCUCUGGGUAUUGGUAUUUAUUUUAUUUAAUUUAUUAAUUUAUACUUGGGCAGUGCCGUG
rnacentral:lncRNA from 1 species